AUUGAACGCUGGCGGCAGGCUUAACACAUGCAAGUCGAGCGGGGGAGGGUAGCUUGCUACCGGACCUAGCGGCGGACGGGUGAGAAAUGCUUAGGAAUCUGCCUAUUAGUGGGGGACAACAUCUCGAAAGGGAUGCUAAUACCGCAUACGUCCUACGGGAGAAAGCAGGGGAUCUUCGGACCUUGCGCUAAUAGAUGAGCCUAAGUCGGAUUAGCUAGUUGGUGGGGUAAAGGCCUACCAAGGCGACGAUCUGUAGCGGGUCUGAGAGGAUGAUCCGCCACACUGGGACUGAGACACGGCCCAGACUCCUACGGGAGGCAGCAGUGGGGAAUAUUGGACAAUGGGGGGAACCCUGAUCCAGCCAUGCCGCAUGUGUGAAGAAGGCCUUAUGGUUGUAAAGCACUUUAAGCGAGGAGGAGGCUACUUUAGUUAAUACCUAGAGAUAGUGGACGUUACUCGCAGAAUAAGCACCGGCUAACUCUGUGCCAGCCGCCGCGGUAA
rnacentral:rRNA from 1 species